ACGCUGGCGGCAUGCCUAACACAUGCAAGUCGAACGGUAACAGGUCUUCGGAUGCUGACGAGUGGCGCACGGGUGAGUAACGCGUGGAUAUCUGCCUAUGAGUGGGGGACAACUUUCGGAAACGAAAGCUAAUACCGCAUAAUCUCUACGGAGCAAAGCAGGGGACCUUUCGGGGCCUUGUGCUUAUAGAAUGAGUCCGCGUCAGAUUAGCUAGUUGGUAGGGUAAGAGCCUACCAAGGCGAUGAUCUGUAGCUGGUUUGAGAGGAUGAUCAGUCACACUGGAACUGAGACACGGUCCAGACUCCUACGGGAGGCAGCAGUGGGGAAUUUUGCACAAUGGGCGCAAGCCUGAUGCAGCGAUGCCGCGUGUGGGAAGAAGGCCUUUGGGUUGUAAACCACUUUCAAUUGGGAAGAAGGGAUGAGAGUUAAUAACUCUCUGACUUGACGGUACCUUUAGAAGAAGCACCGGCUAAUUUCGUGCCAGCAGCCGCGGUAAUACGAAAGGUGCAAGCGUUGUUCGGAUUUACUGGGCGUAAAGAGAUCGUAGGUGGUUUGUUAAGUUAGAUGUGAAAUCCCGGGGCUCAACCUCGGAACUGCAUCUAAAACUGGCAGACUUGAGUUCGGGAGGGGUAAGCGGAAUUCCGUGUGUAGCAGUGAAAUGCGUAGAUAUACGGAGGAACACCUGAGGCGAAGGCGGCUUACUGGACCGAUACUGACACUGAGGAUCGAAAGCGUGGGUAGCAAACAGGAUUAGAUACCCUGGUAGUCCACGCCCUAAACGAUGUCAACUAGCCGUUGCGGGUAUCGACCCCUGCAGUGGCGCAGCUAACGCGAUAAGUUGACCGCCUGGGGAGUACGGUC
rnacentral:rRNA from 1 species